rnacentral:rRNA from 1 species
UCGUCAGCUCGUGUCGUGAGAUGUUGGUUAAGUCCCGCAACGAGCGCAACCCUCGCCUUUAGUUGCCAGCAUUCAGUUGGGCACUCUAGAGGGACUGCCGGUGUCAAACCGGAGGAAGGUGGGGAUGACGUCAAGUCCUCAUGGCCUUUAUAGGUGGGGCUACACACGUCAUACAAUGGCUGGUACAAAGGGUUGCCAACCCGCGAGGGGGAGCCAAUCCCAUAAAGCCAGUCGUAGUCCGGAUCGUAGUCUGCAACUCGACUACGUGAAGUCGGAAUCGCUAGUAAUCGUGGAUCAGAAUGUCACGGUGAAUACGUUCCCGGGUCUU